CCUAAUGUGAUUCUCAAACAUGCUUUUCUAAAAUCAAUGCAAGUACAAAGACAUGCAUUCAUGACAUGAAAAUAAGCAGACAUGAUGUUGAAUACACAUGGCAAACAAUCAAAGAUAAGACAAGAGCAAGACAGGCAGUUAUGCAAUUCAGAAGAUUCAGUAUUCUCUACUUAAACCAAUUAUCACAAGUGCAACAGGUAGCAAGUAGAAUUACAUAUAUUCAAUAAUCUUC
rnacentral:lncRNA from 1 species